rnacentral:miRNA from 7 species
UGUCGGUGGGCAUGGUGGGGAUGGGUUGGAGUUGGACUCAGUGAUCUUAGAGGUCUUUUCCAGCCUUUAUGAUUC